ensembl:rRNA 5S_rRNA 5S ribosomal RNA
AUCUGUGGCCAUGCCACCCUGAAUGCGCCAGAUCUCCCCUGAUCUUGGAAGCUAAGCAGUGUCAGGCCUGGUUAGUACUUGGAUGGGAGACUGACAGGGAAUACUGGGUGCUGCAGGCU